rnacentral:lncRNA from 1 species
CUGAAACUGGUUCUUUACUAUUCAUUAUCUAGUUAUUCAAUAAGAUAUAGAUAUUUUACAUAAAGAGCAUUUGCUUUCUUUUUCUUCAUUCACUCUCUCUUGCUUUUUCAUGAGUUUCUUUCUCAACAAACCGAGCCAAAGCAAUCCCUAAGAAGGAGAGAAAAGGUAAGAUUCAAACUAAUUACUGGAAUCGACCUUCAAUUUCUUCCAAUCUUGUAAAUUUCUUCAAUUUCUUGAUCACUUUUGCAGAUCCUGUGGAAAUUUUUCCCUUUUUAUGAAAGUUUAACUAAAAUUUCAAACAAAGACUUGAGAGAAAAUUGAACUAUUUUCAGUUCAAGUAAAGAUCUUGGAACAACAACACGACAAUAGCAAAAAGGUCUUAUGAGGAUUCACAGGUAUUCUGGGGAAAAUUUCGGGGGUUAUCUCUAGAUUUUAGAGAGGACGAACGAAUUUUUUCUGGUCUUUCUUAUUUACUCGAAGAUAAUUGAUGGCAGUUUCUACUGCAAAGAUAGAAUCCUGAUAUGGUGGAUAUCAAGUGUUUUGAGCUAAUCGAUUCUGGCUCUGUAAUUAUAUUUAGCUAAAAGGGUGUGUAAUUAAGGGAAAAUUCAUGGUGGAUUAUGUAAAUACGGAAAGGAGAGAGAUUCUCUCAAUUUUUGCUGCUUGAAAUUCUUCAAAUAAUAUUGCCAGAACCUGGAUAGUUUUCAUUUUAUUUGCAUCAGAGGCCUGUUGAAAGAAUUUUGUAUGUUUGCUUUAGAAUUUGAAUUUUUCAGUCCUUAGUUUGAAGGGGUGGUCACAACAUUAUAGAAGAAGAGACCAAUGCAUUUGAAGUUGGGAAUACGAAAAGGUUGGAGAAAUUCUAGACAAGAUAAGAUAUAUGGGGUUUUGAUACCUUCAAUGAAGUAAGUGGAGUGAAAAUGGGUACAACGAUUUUACAUUCUUUGACAGGUGAUAAUCCAGAAUUGCAAAAGCAAACAGGACAGCAUUAUAGAACAAAAGUCAGUGCAUUGCAAGUUGGGUAUACGAAAAGGUUAGAGAAAUUCUAGACAAGACAUUUGGGAUUUUGAUACCUUCAUUGAAGUGAGGGAAGUGAAAAUGACUAAAAAGAUUUUACAUUUUUUGACAGGUGAUAAUCCAAAAUUGAAAAAGCAAACAUGAUAUAUGACAGGCAUCUUUCAACUGUUCGAUCAUCAGCCUAUUCUUACUGGGAGGUGCAUCGUUGGCCACAACACAGAGAGGCUGCCUCCUGGUACAUAUUUCUCAUACUAAUUGCUUACUAUUGCUUAUGAUCAAUAAUCUUGUAGAUGAAUGUACUAUUUUAAUGUUUUUCUUGCAGACGCUAUAGACUGUUCACUGAUAGAACUAAGUUUGUUUUAGUUCUCCAAAAUGGAUUCAUUGAAUAUUAAUUUUAAAUAAAUAUAUGAUUCUCUUCUUGUUCAAUAUAUUUCGUGCCACCUUUUAAGUUAAUAAUAUACAAGAGAAGCCCUACGAGCAUGAUACAAUGUGUUUUGCCCUACGAGCAUGAUGCAAUUCGGCCCAUUUCUUAGCAAAAAUAAUAUGCCCAGUAUAUUGAUUUUUGUUUCUUUUCAUGACCUAUAUUUAUUAUUUCAUAUAAGUUUGCAUAUAUAAUGUCCAUGGCCUCCUGAUGAUAUUGCUCAUUUAAUUUUUUGAAGCCUUAAUUCAUUGCUUUUAAUGGUCUAAUAAAAACCCAUAUCUCAGGUUCAGAUGUUCAUUUGCAGGAAAUGCCCAC